rnacentral:rRNA from 1 species
CGUGGUACGAGGUGGAGACACCGAGGACCCGCAAGGGAGCGUGCACAGGUGCUGCACGGCUGUCGUCAGCUCGUGCCGUGAGGUGUUGGGUUAAGUCCCGCAACGAGCGCAACCCUCGCCGCCAGUUACGAUGUCUGGCGGGACCGCCGGGUCCAACCCGGAGGAAGGUGGGGAUGACGUCAAGUCAGCAUGGCCCUUACGCCUGGGGCUACACACACGCUACAAUGGCCGGCACAAGGGGAUGAGAAGGGGCGACCCGGAGCGAAACCCGCCAAAGCCGGUCCCAGUUGGGAUGGCAGGCUGCAACUCGCCUGCUGAGCGCGGAGUUGCUAGUUACCGCAGGUCAGCACACUGCGGUGAUACGUUCCC